UACGAAGGGGGCUAGCGUUGUUCGGAAUUACUGGGCGUAAAGCGCACGUAGGCGGAUAUUUAAGUCAGGGGUGAAAUCCCAGAGCUCAACUCUGGAACUGCCUUUGAUACUGGGUAUCUCGAGUAUGGAAGAGGUGAGUGGAAUUCCGAGUGUAGAGGUGAAAUUCGAAGAUAUUCGGAGGAACACCAGUGGCGAAGGCGGCUCACUGGUCCAUUACUGACGCUGAGGUGCGAAAGCGUGGGGAGCAAACAGG
rnacentral:rRNA from 1 species